GUUUCUGUAGUGUAGCGGUCAUCACAUGCGUAUUACGCGCGCAAGGUCCCCAGAUCGAUCCUUGGCAGAAACA
rnacentral:tRNA from 1 species